rnacentral:rRNA from 1 species
GACGAACGCUGGCGGUGUGCUUAACACAUGCCAGUGGUGCGACGAACCAGAGCUUGCUCUGGGGCAAAGCCGCGAACGGGUGAGUAACACGUGGGUAAUCUACCCCGAUGACCGGGACAACCCGAGGAAACUCGGGCUAAUACCGGAUGUGGUGCGGAGACAUAAGUCUCUUCACUAAAGGUAGCUUCGGCUUCCGCAUUGGGAGGGGCCCGCGGCCCAUUAGCUUGUUGGUGGGGUCAAGGCCUACCAAGGCAACGAUGGGUAGCUGGUCUGAGAGGACGAUCAGCCACACUGGGACUGAGACACGGCCCAGACUCCUACGGGAGGCAGCAGUGGGGAAUCUUGCGCAAUGCGCGAAAGCGUGACGCAGCAACACCGCGUGAGGGAAGAAGGCCUUAGGGUUGUAAACCUCUUUCAGAUGGGACGAAGGUUCUCCGGUGAAUAGCCGAGAGGAUUGACGGUACCGUCAGAAGAAGCUCCGGCUAACUACGUG